GACGAACGCUGGCUGCGUGCUUAACACAUGCAAGUCGAACGGAAAGGCCCUGCUUUUGUUGGUUGCUCUAGUGGCGAACGGGUGCGUAACACGUUAGUACCCUUCCCUUCACUUUGGCAUAACUUCAUGAAAUUGGGGCUAAUACCGGAUAGGAGCUCCUUCUGCCUGGUGGGGGUUGGAAAGUUUCGGCGGUUGUGGAUGGACUCGCGGCUUAUCAGCUUGUUGGUGGGGUAGUGGAUUACCAAGGCUUUGAAGGGUACCCUGCCUGAGAGGGGGACCGGGAAAAUGGGGAAGGAGAUACGGGAGAGAGUAGUAAGGGAGGUAGCAGUGGGGAAUAUUGCACAAGGGACGGAAGACGGAUGCAGGAACGCCGCGUGAGGGAUGACGGACUUCGGGUUGUAAACAGCUUUCGCGGGUGACGAAGAGUGAGUGACGGUAAUGGGUAAAGAAGCACCGGCUAACUACGUG
rnacentral:rRNA from 1 species